CUUCAGCGAGCCCAGCCACAGGGGUUCCGUGCGGCCCUGCCCGUACGUGGCGAGCAGCGCCCGCGCCUC
rnacentral:antisense_RNA from 1 species